CCCCCCGGCUCUUGAAAAGAAAAAAUCCACUCUGGCGUUUUAUGUAACAGAACAUUUCGGGGGGGUGGGGGGGUUGGAGAAAAGCUGGAUUUUCUGUCUUUCUUUCUGAAUAUAUGCACUUCUCUGAAAAAGCAAUAAACCUAUCAGCGCUGGUCUGGGGUCAGUGAGACGCUGCCCCAAAGCCCCAGCCUCCUCCGGCCUAAAAGGGGCGGAGCCAUGGGCCCAUUGGUCCACGGAUAGUGAUGUCAGCGCAGGUGUCGGUGGCAGCGGUGGGAGGUUUUCACGGCACGUUAACGUUCAUAUAUCUGAGUAUUUCACUGAUUUUCUUGCUGUAUUUUGCAACACGAGCCUCUUAACUGUUACAACUGAAGUGAUUUAUUGAUUAUUAUUGAAAUAUUUGACAGUUUAUUUAACGCGCAGUCAUUUCUGAAUGUUCCUAAAGCUGAUUUUCUGGUUCUUGACUCAGACUUUAAUGUGAGUAUCUGCAGGUUAUUGAC